CCAUCUGGCCUAAUACUGACACUGAGGUGCGAAAGCAUGGGGAGCAAACAGGAUUAGAUACCCUGGUAGUCCAUGCCGUAAACGAUGUCUACUAGCCGUUGGGGCCUUUGAGGCUUUAGUGGCGCAGCUAACGCGAUAAGUAGACCGCCUGGGGAGUACGGUCGCAAGACUAAAACUCAAAUGAAUUGACGGGGGCCCGCACAAGCGGUGGAGCAUGUGGUUUAAUUCGAUGCAACGCGAAGAACCUUACCUGGUCUUGACAUAGUAAGAACUUUCCAGAGAUGGAUUGGUGCCUUCGGGAACUUACAUACAGGUGCUGCAUGGCUGUCGUCAGCUCGUGUCGUGAGAUGUUGGGUUAAGUCCCGCAACGAGCGCAACCCUUUUCCUUAUUUGCCAGCGGGUUAAGCCGGGAACUUUAAGGAUACUGCCAGUGACAAACUGGAGGAAGGCGGGGACGACGUCAAGUCAUCAUGGCCCUUACGACCAGGGCUACACACGUGCUACAAUGGUCGGUUACAAAGGGUUGCUACCUCGCGAGAGGAUGCUAAUCUCAAAAAGCCGAUCGUAGUCCGGAUCGCAGUCUGCAACUCGACUGCGUGAAGUCGGAAUCGCUAGUAAUCGCGGAUCAGAAUUGCCGCGGUGAAUACGUUCCCGGGCCUUGUACAACACCGCCCGUCACACCAUGGGAGUUUGU
rnacentral:rRNA from 1 species